GGGGGCGGGGGGUGGUGGAGGGGGGGAAGAAAAAUAACUAAAAUUUUAUUUUUAAAAUUUUCUUUUGGAGAUAGAAAUACUUUAAUCUUUAAUUUUUUUAAUACUAAUAGUUUAUUAUUUAAUUUUUGUCAAAGAGGAAUAUUUUAUCCUUGUGGAAUGUCAUGUGUCAAGGUUUUUCCAAAUAAAAGAGAGAUUGUAUUACACACACCACUGAUGUGUGUUUUUUAAAUUAAU
rnacentral:lncRNA from 1 species